rnacentral:lncRNA from 1 species
CCCUUCUGAAGUCUCAGUGCCUCCACCCUAGCCCAGACUGUCAUCACCUCACACCUGUAUUUCUGCAAUAGUCUGUCUUCUAUCUGAUUAUCCUGAAACACUGCUCCCCCUCUACCUCUUUUGUUUCCCUUACUUUCUUCAAGAUUCACCUCAAGCUCCAGAUGCUACACAAAAAUCUAUCUUGGCCCCUCUCCUAGUCACUUGUGCCAUCUCCUUUCAGAUUACCUUUGAUUUAUACCAUACAUAUCUAGUACAUUUGUGAGUUUUAAUAGAUUGUUUCUCCCCAUUAGAAAGUACAUCCUUGGUGGCAGCUGGGUGGCUCAGUGGAUUGAGAGCCAGGUUUAGAAAUGGAAGGCCCUAUGUUCAAAUUUGGUCUCAGAAAAUACUUCCUAGCUAUGUGACCCUGAGCAAGUCACUUGACUCCUAUUGCCUAGCCUUACCACUCUUCUGCCUUGAAACUGAUACACAGUAUUAACUCUAAAACAGAAGGUAAGGAAAAGAAAGAAAGGAAGGAAGGAAGGAAGGAAGGAAGGAAGGAAGGAAGGAAGGAAGGAAGGAAGGAAGGAAGGAAGGAAGGAAGGAAGGAAGGAAGGAAGGAAGGAAGGAAGAGAGAGAGAAAGAGAGAAAGAGAGAAGGAAGGAAGGAAGGAAGGAAGGAAGGAAGGAAGGAAGGAAGGAAGGAAGGAAGGAAGGAAGGAAGGAAGGAAGGAAGGAAGAGAUUAGUUAUAGUUGGGUAUCAAGGUGGCUCAGUGGAUCAAGAGCCAGGCUGGGAAAUGGGGAGGUCUUGGAUUCAAAUGUGCCCUCAGACACUUCCUAGCUGUGUGACCCUGGGCAAAUCACUUAACCCCCAUUACCUAGCCCUUAACUGCUCUUCUGCCUUAGAAGCAAUACACAGUUAUUGAUUCUAAGACAGAAGUUAAGAGUUUAAAAAAAAAAAAGAAUCAUGCCUCUCUCACAUUUGACACAUUAGGAAACUGAGGCUGGAGAAUGCAUGAAAUGACUUGCUCUUCUGCCUUGGAACCAAUACUCAGUAUUGAUUGUAAGAUGGAAGGUCAGGGUAUGAAAAAAAAAAGAUAUUGGUUCCAAAAUGCACCUCCACUGACCAAGGAUUGGUGUGGGAGUAUAAAGUCCUCAUAUUGAGAGCAGAGUUGACUGAGGACAGUUCACAAAGCCUGCUGGGGGGAGGGACACCCCCAGUGGCCACAGCAUGCAGGGCAAGUCCCACUGGCAAGGCCAUCAGCCAGCCAUAUGGAAAGUUACAGCUAUUUUCUGAAGGAUGUCUCCACCCAUUCAAGGAGUCCUAAGGAGGACAUGCUAUGGAAGAGGUAAGGCUGGAGAGGCAGGAGGCUGAAGCAGAGAAAAUGAGCUUAGUGGAGUGUGCACGCAGGACAGCUCUCUGGAUCCAAUAGGUAAUUAUUACACACCAGCUAUGUGCCACUU